GAGAGGGUGUACGGCCACAUUGGGACUGAGAUACGGCCCAGACUCCUACGGGAGGCAGCAGUGAGGAAUAUUGCGCAAUGGACGAAAGUCUGACGCAGCGACGCCGCGUGGAGGAUGACGGUUUUCGGAUUGUAAACUCCUGUUAAGCGGGAAGAAAGCUUGAGCUCUAAUAUAGCUCAAGGAUGACGGUACCGCUAGAGGAAGCACCGGCUAACUUCGUGCCAGCAGCCGCGGUAAUACGAGGGGUGCAAACGUUAUUCGGAUUUACUGGGCGUAAAAGGGUGUGUAGACGGCGUAUUAAGUUCGUUGUUAAAUCUUCCGGCCUAACCGGAAGCUCGCGAUGGAAACUGAUAUGCUUGAGGAUGGAAGAGAGAAGUGGAAUUCUCGGAGUAGCGGUAAAAUGCGUAGAUCUCGAGAGGAACACCGAUGGCGAAGGCAGCUUCUUGGUCCAUUCCUGACGUUGAGACACGAAAGCGUGGGUAGCAAACAGGAUUAGAUACCCUGGUAGUCCACGCCGUAAACGAUGAUCACUGGAUGUCGGUUUCGCUCUGCGAAAUCGGUAUCGAAGCUAACGCGUUAAGUGAUCCGCCUGGGAAGUACGGUCGCAAGAUUAAAACUCAAAGGAAUUGACGGGGGUCCGCACAAGCGGUGGAACAUGUGGUUUAAUUCGACACUACGCGAGGAACCUUACCUGGGCUUGACAUGCUCUUGCCCGCCGUGGAAACACGGUUUCCUGAAUUUCGGUUCAGGCAGGAGUACAGGUGCUGCAUGGCUGUCGUCAGCUCGUGUCGUGAGAUGUUUGGUUAAGUCCUCUAACGAGCGCAACCCCUGCUGCUAGUUGCAACUGCUUUAUGCAAGGCACUCUAGCGGGACUGCCUGGGAAACCAGGAGGAAGGUGGGGAUGACGUCAAGUCAUCAUGGUCCUUAUGUCCAGGGCUACACACGUGUUACAAUGGUCGGUACAAAGGGGUGCAAUACCGCGAGGUGGAGCAAAUCCCAAAAAGCCGAUCUAAGUUCGGAUUGGAGUCUGCAAUUCGACUCCAUGAAGUUGAAAUCGCUAGUAAUCGUAUAUCAGCAACGAUACGGUGAUACGUUCUCGGACCUUGUACACACCGCCCGUCACACCACGAAAGCUGUUUGUACCCGAUGCUAUCUUAGC
rnacentral:rRNA from 1 species